rnacentral:rRNA from 1 species
UACAGAGGGGGCAAGCGUUAUCCGGAAUUAUUGGGCGUAAAGAGCUCGUAGGCGGUUUGUCGCGUCUGCCGUGAAAGUCCGGGGCUCAACUCCGGAUCUGCGGUGGGUACGGGCAGACUAGAGUGAUGUAGGGGAGACUGGAAUUCCUGGUGUAGCGGUGAAAUGCGCAGAUAUCAGGAGGAACACCGAUGGCGAAGGCAGGUCUCUGGGCAUUAACUGACGCUGAGGAGCGAAAGCAUGGGGAGCGAACAGG